rnacentral:rRNA from 1 species
AUGCAAGUCGAGCGGUAGAGAGAAGCUUGCUUCUCUUGAGAGCGGCGGACGGGUGAGUAAUGCCUAGGAAUCUGCCUGGUAGUGGGGGAUAACGCUCGGAAACGGACGCUAAUACCGCAUACGUCCUACGGGAGAAAGCAGGGGACCUUCGGGCCUUGCGCUAUCAGAUGAGCCUAGGUCGGAUUAGCUAGUUGGUGAGGUAAUGGCUCACCAAGGCGACGAUCCGUAACUGGUCUGAGAGGAUGAUCAGUCACACUGGAACUGAGACACGGUCCAGACUCCUACGGGAGGCAGCAGUGGGGAAUAUUGGACAAUGGGCGAAAGCCUGAUCCAGCCAUGCCGCGUGUGUGAAGAAGGUCUUCGGAUUGUAAAGCACUUUAAGUUGGGAGGAAGGGCAGUAAAUUAAUACUUUGCUGUUUUGACGUUACCGACAGAAUAAGCACCGGCUAACUCUGUGCCAGCAGCCGCGGUAAUACAGAGGGUGCAAGCGU